CCUACGGGUGGCAGCAGUGGGGAAUAUUGCACAAUGGGGGAAACCCUGAUGCAGCGACGCCGCGUGAGUGAAGAAGUAUUUCGGUAUGUAAAGCUCUAUCAGCAGGGAAGAAAAUGACGGUACCUGAUUAAGAAGCCCCGGCUAACUACGUGCCAGCAGCCGCGGUAAUACGGAGGGUGCAAGCGUUGUCCGGAAUCAUUGGGCGUAAAGGGUUCGUAGGCGGCAUGUAAAGUCAGGUGUUAAAGGCGCAGGCUCAACCUGUGUAUGGCACUUGAUACUUGCAAGCUUGAAUGCGGUAGAGGUAAAGGGAAUGCGUGGUGUAGCGGUGAAAUGCUUAGAUAUCAGGAAGAACAUCGGUGGCGUAGGCGCUUUACUGGGCCGUAAUUGACGCUGAGGAACGAAAGCCAGGGUAGCAAAUGGGAUUAGAUACCCCUGUAGUC
rnacentral:rRNA from 1 species